rnacentral:lncRNA from 1 species
CCAGAUCCUGCCCCUGAGCUUUCAUGAGCUGUUGAACCAUCCGGAAUUCACAGGCCUGUCAUGAGAGACACGAUGAGAAGUCCUUAAAGGUAGAUCGCUGAUUCACAGGGGAGCAGGCGGAGGCAAGGGCGCUGCGCUACCACCCGGACAAGAACAAGGAGCCCGGCGCCGAGGAGAAGUUCAAGGAGAUCGCCGAGGCCUACGAUGUGCUCAGCGACCCGCGCAAGCGCGAGAUCUUCGACCGCUACCGGGA